AGAGUUUGAUCCUGGCUCAGAGUUAACGUUGGCGGCGUGCCUAACACAUGCAAGUCGAACGCGUCCUAAGGGCAACUUUAGGAUGAGUGGCGAACGGGUGAGUAUCACGUGGGUAAUCUUCCUUCAAGUGGGGAAUAAGCUCUCGAAAGGGAGUCUAAUACCGCAUGACAUUCCGGGACACAAGUCCCGUAAUCAAAGCCGCAAGGCGCUUGAAGAUGAGCCUGCGUCCUAUUAGCUAGUUGGUGGGGUAACGGCCUACCAAGGCUCAGAUGGGUAGCCGGCCUGAGAGGGUGAACGGCCACACUGGGACUGAGACACGGCCCAGACUCCUACGGGAGGCAGCAGUGAGGAAUUUUGCGCAAUGGGGGAAACCCUGACGCAGCGACGCCGCGUGGAGGAUGAAGGCCUUCGGGUCGUAAACUCCUGUCAGAGGUGAAGAAUGCCCGCAAGGGUUUGACGGUAACCUCAGAGGAAGCCCCGGCUAACUACGUGCCAGCAGCCGCGGUAAUACGUAGGGGGCAAACGUUACUCGGAAUUACUGGGCGUAAAGGGUGCGUAGGCGGCUGGGAAAGUCAAGGAUGAAAUCCCGUGGCUCAACUGCGGAACGGUCCUUGAAACUACUCGGCUUGAGGAUAACCGAAGAGAACGGAAUUCCCGGUGGAGCGGUGAAAUGCGUAGAUAUCGGGAGGAACACCUGAGGCGAAAGCGGUUCUCUAGACUACUCCUGACGCUGAGGCACGAAAGCUAGGGGAGCAAACGGGAUUAGAUACCCCGGUAGUCCUAGCCAUCAACUAUGGAUACUGGAUAUUCCUGCACUCAUGUGGGAGUGUCGAAGCCAACGCGUUAAGUAUCCCGCCUGGGGAGUACGGUCGCAAGAUUGAAACUCAAAGGAAUUGACGGGGGCCCGCACAAGCGGUGGAGCAUGUGGUUUAAUUCGACGCAACGCGAAGAACCUUACCU
rnacentral:rRNA from 1 species